AAGGUACCAUCUAUGAACCCCAGAAAAGAAACAUUCAACAGGCACUCAAUCUGCUAGUGCCUUGAUCUAAGACUUCCCAAACUCUAGAACGGUUGUAUUUAACCAGAGACAGUUGUUGAAGAAGCCACAAACCUAAGUACCAGGUGCACCCUCUUAAUGCUUCAUCUGGAGCAUUUUAUUAAUCUCUUUGACUCUGGAUGGAAACUCAUCUUUCAUAUCUGCAUGUUUGAGAGAUUAUUUGGCAAUGGGAGCACAGUUCCACUGAAGAAGGGGAGGGUAUGAGGAUGGCAUGAGCAGGAGCAGAAUGAGGAAGAACAGGAGGAGAACCAGGGUCCCAGCAAAGCAUUCAAGGCAGAAAGAAGGUAACCUGGUAUGCAGUGGAUACAACUGGUAUGGACAGAAAAACUGCAUUAAAUAGGAGAAGAAUUUCAUCUUAACAAAAGAAUCAACUUUCUCAUAAUAAGGAUUCUUAGAUGCUAGUGGAUGCCAGGCACACCCCUCCUCAACUGUGACAACAAAAUACGUCUCCAGAUAGUGCCAAAUAUCUCCUACAAAGCAAAAUUGUCCCCUGCUGGGAACCGCUGGACCAGUUAAUGCGUUAAGAAGAAAAAAAAGA